rnacentral:rRNA from 1 species
GACGAAGGUGGCGAGCGUUGUUCGGUGUCACUGGGCUUAAAGCGUAUGUAGGCGGAAAGGUAAGCGUCAUGUGAAAUCCCUCGGCUUAACCGAGGAAUUGCUUGGCGAACUACUUUUCUUGAGGUAGGUAGGGGUACAUGGAACUCUUGGUGGAGCGGUGGAAUGCGUAGAUAUCAAGAGGAACGCCGAUGGAGAAAUCAGUGUACUGGGCCUAUUCUGACGCUGAGAUACGAAAGCGUGGGGAGCGAACGGGAUUAGAUACCCGGGUA